UACGUAGGAUCCAAGCGUUGUCCGGAUUUACUGGGUGUAAAGGGUGCGCAGGCGGACUUAUAAGUCAGGGGUGAAAUCUCGCUGCUCAACAGCGAAACUGCCUUUGAUACUGUAGGUCUUGAAUUAGGGAGAGAUUCGUGGAAUUCCGAGUGUAGCAGUGAAAUGUGUAGAUAUUCGGAAGAACACCAGAGGCGAAGGCAGCGAAUUGGCCCUAUAUUGACGCUCAGGCACGAAAGCAUGGGGAUCAACAGG
rnacentral:rRNA from 1 species